rnacentral:rRNA from 1 species
AGAACGAACGCUGGCGGCGUGCUUAAUACAUGCAAGUCGCACGAGAAAGUCCUUCGGGAUGAGUGGAGUGGCGCACGGGUGAGUAAUACAUAGGAACGCACCUUUAGGUGGGGAAUAACGACGGGAAACUGUCGCUAAUACCGCAUAAUCUCGCGAGAGUAAAGCUGGCCUCUAUUUAUAAGCUAGCGACCAAAAGAACGGCCUAUGUCCCAUUAGCUAGUUGGUAGGGUAAUGGCCUACCAAGGCGACGAUGGGUAGCUGGUCUGAGAGGAUGAUCAGCCACACUGGGACUGAGACACGGCCCAGACUCCUACGGGAGGCAGCAGUAGGGAAUUUUGCACAAUGGGCUCAAGCCUGAUGCAGCAACGCCGCGUGAGUGAAGAAGGCUUUGGUGUAACGCUCUUUACCCGAGAUGAUAGUGACAGUAUCGGAAGAAUAAGCCCCCGACUAACCGUCCGUAGCCAGCCAGCCGACGUAAUCGUAGA